rnacentral:rRNA from 1 species
UACGAAGGGGGCGAGCGCUGUUCGGAAUUACUGGGCGUAAAGCGCGUGUAGGCGGCCCUGCAAGUCGGAUGUGAAAUCCCACGGCUCAACCGUGGAAGUGCAUUCGAAACUGCAGGGCUAGAGUCCUGGAGAGGAAGGUGGAAUGCUUGGUGUAGAGGUGAAAUUCGUAGAUAUCAAGCGGAACACCGGUGGCGAAGGCGGCCUUCUGGACAGUGACUGACGCUGAGACGCGAAAGCGUGGGGAGCAAACAGG